rnacentral:rRNA from 1 species
CUACGGGCGGCUGCAGUGAGUCCUAUUGCCCCCUUGGGGGAACCCUGAUGCAGCAACGCCUCGUGGAGGAUGACGCAUUUCGGUGUGUAAACUCCUUUUAUAUGUCAAGAAAAUGACGGUAGCAUAUGAAUAAGCACCGGCUAACUCCGUGCCAGCAGCCGCGGUAAUACGGAGGGUGCAAGCGUUACUCGGAAUCACUGGGCGUAAAGGACGCGUAGGCGGGUUGGAAAGUCAGGUGUGAAAUCCUACAGCUUAACUGUAGAACUGCACUUGAAACUUCUAAUCUAGAGUAUGGGAGGGGGAGAUGGAAUUAGAGGUGUAGGGGUAAAAUCCGUAGAUAUCACUAGGAAUACCUAAAGCGAAGGCGAUCUCCUGGAACAUUACUGACGCUAAGGCGUGAAAGCGUGGGGAGCAAACAGGAUUAGAUACCCCAGUAGUC